rnacentral:rRNA from 1 species
UACAGAGGUCUCAAGCGUUGUUCGGAUUCAUUGGGCGUAAAGGGCGCGUAGGCGGGGAGGUAAGUCGGGUGUGAAAUCCCUCGGCCCAACCGAGGAACUGCGCCCGAGACUGCUUCUCUUGAGUCCCGGAGAGGAAGGUGGAAUUCCCGGUGUAGCGGUGAAAUGUGUAGAGAUCGGGAGGAACACCGGUGGCGAAGGCGGCCUUCUGGACGGUGACUGACGCUGAGGCGCGAAAGCGUGGGGAGCAAACGGG